ACAACUGGACAUAUCACUCUGCAACUCACAACUGGUAACCCACUGAAGCUAAGCAGGUGUGAGCCUGGUCAGUACCUGGAUGGGAGUCCUCCUGGGAAAAACUAAGGUUGCUGCUGGAA
rnacentral:rRNA from 1 species